UGUGUGUGUGUGUGUGUGUGUGUGUGUGUGUGUGUGAGUGUGUAUGCCUGUGUGUUUGUAUGCGAAAUACAAUGUAGCAUUUUAAAACUUGAUUUUAAGCUGGGUUUUUUUUUUUUUUUAAUUAUUAUUGAUAAAGGUGACACAUUAUUAUGUGUGCCUGCUGGUUCUGACGCUGUCUCAGGCAAUGGCAAGCGACUGUGCUGCAACAGCGGCACAUUGUGUAUACUUCAGAUUACUUUAAGACAACACAAUCACAAUGUCCAAUCACAACUUCAAGUGCCUUAGUUUUGUUUGGUUUUUUUUAUAGUUUCAUGUAUAUUGUGCGUUCAUGUAAUUGUUCUUGUUACUAAGUAGCUAUCUUGCAUUCCAAGUGACUGCGUUUGACUGAAAAAAAAAAAAAAAAAAACAGGACAGGGGCAUGUAGUUAAAUGCAGGGAUUCUUUAAAGUGUUGUGUAAAAGUUUAAAAUUUUAGAGCAAACGUUAAUUUCCACACAUGAGAAGUGUUUGUUUUUAACCUCAGAAUGCAUGUUUUUUCUAGCACGUCCUGUCUUUGACCAAGCACAAACAGUAUGACCCAACGAGAGCUGCAGGAGGCUUCAAUAGGUAAAUGUGUCCCAAACACCAUUUAAUUUUUGUUUUUUGAUUGACAGGAAAUCAAAGCUCAAGCUGGUUUGGCUUCUCUGUUGCUUGAUAAGGGUUUAAUAUGGCAUAACAUCAAAGCCGUUACUUUAACUCACGUUGAAGGAAGCUUUCUUAAUGACGCAAACAUCUAAUAGAUCGCAAUGGAAAUUCAUUAUUAAUAUGGGCGGCUGUCGUUUCCAACUAAAACGAUGGCUGUACGUUGGCAUAUGGACAUGCCUUUCGUUAAUUAAUAUUACUGCCACGUCCUUCAUUCUUUGAGAUUUACUUGUCUUGAUAUCCGUUUGGGCAGUGGUUAUCGCGCUCGUCUCAUCAGCCUGCAACACUUCACGAUUUACAGCCAGUCCAAUCAUCACAAGAAAUCCAACGGGCCCUCAGUUGAUCAGUCGAAGUACGAACGAGACUUUAUGUGUCAGAUCAAGGCUUCUUUCUCUCCUGCCGUUUCUAGAUUGACCCCGUCGAGUACGGUGCAGCAGCGUAGGGAGAGGUGCGAAAACUGCUGAAUAUAUCAAAUAGUGCAGUUGUGUGAAAAAAUUGUGCUGAAAAAACAAAUAAAAUCCUCGAGUUCAUGAUCUGUAGAAAGUGCUUUCCAUGUUUUAACGCGCAGUAGUGAUAAAAUCAAGACUGAUGAGAAUAACUACAAAUGAUCAAACGUACAUGUCUGCCUCACAGGUGUGAAAGCAGCCUGAGAUGAAUAAAGUGUAUUAAACCCUAAUGGAGAACAGACAGCAAACCGCUUCCGAGGGCAUGAUCACUGAUUUCUUGUCUCAUCAUCACAUGAUGAAAAACCCAAACCAAAGUGGUACAA